rnacentral:rRNA from 1 species
GAUGAACGCUGGCGGCGUGCUUAACACAUGCAAGUCGAACGAGCUUUAUUACUACGAUCCCUUCGGGGUGACGGUUUUAAAGCGAGUGGCGGACGGGUGAGUAACGCGUGGAUAACCUGCCAUACACUGGGGGAUAACAGCUGGAAACAGCUGCUAAUACCGCAUAAAACUGUAGAGUCGCAUGACUUUAUAGCCAAAGCUCCGGCGGUGUAUGAUGGAUCCGCGUCUGAUUAGGCAGUUGGCGGGGUAACGGCCCACCAAACCGACGAUCAGUAGCCGACCUGAGAGGGUGACCGGCCACAUUGGGACUGAGACACGGCCCAGACUCCUACGGGAGGCAGCAGUGGGGAAUAUUGCACAAUGGAGGAAACUCUGAUGCAGCGACGCCGCGUGAGCGAUGAAGUAUUUCGGUAUGUAAAGCUCUAUCAGCAGGGAAGAUAAUGACGGUACCUGACUAAGAAGCUCCGGCUAAAUACGUGCCAGCAGCCG